GGCUGCAUAGCUCAGUUGGCUAGAGCAUACGGUUCAUACCCGUAGUGUCAUUGGUUCAAAUCCAAUUGCAGCCACCA
rnacentral:tRNA from 2 species